UACGUAGGGUGCAAGCGUUGUUCGGAAUCACUGGGCGUAAAGCGCGUGUAGGCGGUUUGGUAAGUCGAGUGUGAAAGCCCAAGGCUCAACCUGGGAAGUGCCCUCUAGACUGCAAGGCUUGAGUUCUGGAGAGGCAAGUGGAAUUCCGAGUGUAGAGGUGAAAUUCGUAGAUAUCCGGAGGAACACCAGUGGCGAAGGCGACUUGCUGGACUGAUACUGACGCUGAGGUACGAAAGCGUGGGGAGCUAACAGG
rnacentral:rRNA from 1 species